rnacentral:rRNA from 1 species
CCUAUUGAGCUCAAUGGACAAGCCAUAGUAGACAGCCUUACUGAAAUUAAUAAGAGAAGGGUGUGGGCUAGUAGAAUGGUAAGGGAUGACGAACUGUACAUAGUACACGUUCAGGGCAUUGCUGGCGUCAGUCUCCCGACUACGCUGGUCGUCAAGAAGUUCCAGAAUGAGAACCCAGCACUGCAGGUGGACGGCAAUGUCACGUACCGCUACAAGUCGGAGAUGAUCCUCUUAGCCAGCAAUUCUCACGACAACAUCAUCAAAGUCGUAGACCUCAUCCAGUGGGAAGACGCCAUCAUGCUUGUCUAUGAGUAUCCGGUGAAUGGCAGCCUUCAAUCCUGGCUGCACCAACCCAUGGAUGUUGUUCGGACGCUGAGCUGGCCACAGAGGAGGGUCAUUGCCAUCGGCAUGGCCAAAGGGAUCUACCACAUGCAUUACAGAUGCAAAAAGCCGAUUAUCCACCACAACAUCAACUCGAACAACAUCUUGCUUGAUCAGAAUUUCAAGCCCGUGAUAGCCAGUUUUGACGCUGCACAGAUGAACAUGGCCGGGCUCGACCAACCGUUGCCAAUUGCGGGCCUGCCUCUAGGGAACUUUGGUUACUCAGCUCCAGAAUAUGGGGUCGCAGCAAGGGAGCUGACGGAGAAGGUUGACACAUACAGCUUUGGGGUGUUCAUGCUGGAGCUCGUCACGGGGCGGAUGGCCAAUGAAGCUGGAGCGGAUGGUCAUUUGGCGACUUGGGCGCGAAACAACUUCACUAAACUGAUGGCAAACCAACAGGAAAUGUUCCAGAGUGCCGUGGACAGGGACAUCCCAGAUCAAGCGCCGUACAUGGAGGAGAUGGCAACUGUGUUCAUGCUGGGCGUGGAUUGCACCGUUGGGAAUCCGCAGCAAAGGCCGUCCAUGCGGAUGGCUCUCAAACGACUCCGCCACGGCUGUGGGCGUGGCCCAUUCCGUGGACUCCUCACC